rnacentral:rRNA from 1 species
GCGGGACACGUGGUAUCCUGUCUGAAUAUGGGGGGACCAUCCUCCAAGGCUAAAUACUCCUGACUGACCGAUAGUGAACCAGUACCGUGAGGGAAAGGCGAAAAGAACCCCGGCGAGGGGAGUGAAAAAGAACCUGAAACCGUGUACGUACAAGCAGUGGGAGCCUCUUAAUGGGGUGACUGCGUACCUUUUGUAUAAUGGGUCAGCGACUUAUAUUCUGUAGCAAGGUUAACCGAAUAGGGGAGCCGAAGGGAAACCGAGUCUUAACUGGGCGUUAAGUUGCAGGGUAUAGACCCGAAACCCGGUGAUCUAGCCAUGGGCAGGUUGAAGGUUGGGUAACACUAACUGGAGGACCGAACCGACUAAUGUUGAAAAAUUAGCGGAUGACUUGUGGCUGGGGGUGAAAGGCCAAUCAAACCGGGAGAUAGCUGGUUCUCCCCGAAAGCUAUUUAGGUAGCGCCUCGUGAAUUCAUCUCCGGGGGUAGAGCACUGUUUCGGCAAGGGGGUCAUCCCGACUUACCAACCCGAUGCAAACUGCGAAUACCGGAGAAUGUUAUCACGGGAGACACACGGCGGGUGCUAACGUCCGUCGUGAAGAGGGAAACAACCCAGACCGCCAGCUAAGGUCCCAAAGUCAUGGUUAAGUGGGAAACGAUGUGGGAAGGCCCAGACAGCCAGGAUGUUGGCUUAGAAGCAGCCAUCAUUUAAAGAAAGCGUAAUAGCUCACUGGUCGAGUCGGCCUGCGCGGAAGAUGUAACGGGGCUAAACCAUGCACCGAAGCUGCGGCAGCGACACUAUGUGUUGUUGGGUAGGGGAGCGUUCUGUAAGCCUGUGAAGGUGUGCUGUGAG